AUGAAAGUUCUUGAGACACUCUCUAGGUCUGAGAAAGACUUGAGAGGACACUCCUACAAUAGCCUCGGGAACUGCAUGACGUUUUUCAUUAGAUGAGGUGGUUCCCUGAGCAUUUGCAGGACAGUUCUUUCAAGCCUUCCUCGGACUUUGGAUUGUUUGUUCCAUAUCAUG
rnacentral:pre_miRNA from 1 species